rfam:Carnobacterium maltaromaticum LMA28 complete genome
AAUAAAACAAUGAUGGAAAAAAGUAAUUUAGCCCUUUCUAAAAAGAGAGUCGGUGCCGAUGGCUGGAAGUAUCGAUUAGAGAAGUUAAAUGAAAAUUUCAAUUCCUGAGUUGACUUUGGGAUAUUACAAUAAGCAUUAAAUUUAGUGCUUUGUAGUGAAAAAAGUUCCGGCUUUUGCCGUUAUCUAAAUGAAGUGCAAUUCUAGGUAUAAUAGAAUUGAACAAGGGUGGUACCGCGAUUUCAGACCUCGUCCCUUUU